AUGCACCCUCCCUGCUGCAAAAAUGCCCGAGUUAGAGAGGUUGUUCAGGAACAACCCCAGAGGAGAUCGGUGAGGUUGUCAGUUAAACCUCCUCUGAAAAAGUGGAAAAAAAGCCCCAAAAAGGCAGCAGGAAAGGAUAAAUCUUCAGACUAAAAAGCGCAAAGGGGGAAGACGGAAGAAGUGGAUAACCAGGAAACUGAAAGAUUUACCUGCAGAGAACAGAGAAGAUACAAACGAGAAGAAUUCAGACUGUGGUGAAACAGGAGAGAAAGAAGCCAAAUAUGA
rnacentral:lncRNA from 1 species